UACGUAGGGGGCAAGCGUUGUCCGGAUUUAUUGGGCGUAAAGAGCGUGUAGGCGGCUUUGCAAGUCCGUUGUGAAAACUCGAGGCUCAACCUCGAGACGCCGGUGGAAACUGCAAAGCUAGAGUCCGGAAGAGGAGAGUGGAAUUCCUGGUGUAGCGGUGAAAUGCGCAGAUAUCAGGAGGAACACCGAUGGCGAAGGCAGGUCUCUGGGCAUUAACUGACGCUGAGGAGCGAAAGCAUGGGGAGCGAACAGG
rnacentral:rRNA from 1 species